GACGAACGCUGGCGGCGUGCUUAACACAUGCAAGUCGAACGGAAAGGCCCUGCUUUUGUGGGGUGCUCGAGUGGCGAACGGGUGAGUAACACGUGAGUAACCUGCCCUUGACUUUGGGAUAACUUCAGGAAACUGGGGCUAAUACCGGAUAGGAGCUCCUGCUGCAUGGUGGGGGUUGGAAAAUUUCGGCGGUUGGGGAUGGACUCGCGGCUUAUCAGCUUGUUGGUGGGGUAGUGGCUUACCAAGGCUUUGACGGGUAGCCGGCCUGAGAGGGUGACCGGCCACAUUGGGACUGAGAUACGGCCCAGACUACUACGGGAGGCAGCAGUGGGGAAUAUUGCACAAUGGACGGAAGCCUGAUGCAGCAACGCCGCGUGCGGGAUGACGGCCUUCGGGUUGUAAACCGCUUUCGCCUGUGACGAAGCGUGAGUGACGGUAAUGGGUAAAGAAGCACCGGCUAACUACGUG
rnacentral:rRNA from 1 species